UGCACAGAGUAUUAUCAGUGCUUGUCGCGGCCUAGCGAAUAUUCACUGUGGAUUCAAAGGUGGAAAACACAAGUUAUUGUUCUGUUGUAAAUAGUGUCUUGUGUUAAAAUUACAAGAUGUACUAAAGAAAAACCCGAAAUCCGAUUGAUGCUAAUUGGAGCUUAGAAGCUUUUAAACUUUUAACAUUAAUACAAUGAUCUGAUAAAAGGAUAACAAGAAAAGGUAUGCCAGCUUGGUCGUUUUUAAGAAGCCCUGAUCUUUAAAACUAGGACUUCUUACACCCACUAAAGUGAAGACCGCGCAAGCUGUUUAAGUCAAAGGCCAAGAAGCACUGACUUUCGCCCGUGAAAGAAGACAUCAACAUUUGUGACUAGAUAUUCCUGUUGACCCAGGCCCGGCGGAGUUGGGGGGCUAGGGGGGCUUUAGCCCCCCCCCCCCCUAUAAUUUGGCCGCAAGUACUCUUUUCUCCAGGUUAUUGCGACCCCUGGACCCACGCCUAUACGGACCUGGGAUGGAAGCCCCCCCCCCCCAAUCAAGAAUUGCUUCCGCCGGCCCUGUGACCUGUUCACUAAACCUGCUUCUGAAUACUCUGAAUACCAAAAGAAGUUUUCAACCACUCAGUAUUUUUAUGGGCCGAAAGCCUACAACUAGAAGCAAGAUCAACUUACCACACCAAUCCACGAUUAGAAGUUUAUUUCAGACUACCACACUGAUCAGCAGUGAAUGCGACUUAAUGAGCCAGAAAUAUUAACUUUUUUCCUGCGACAAAUUAAAUUCUAAAACAUUUUUUUUUAUGUACUGGAAAAAUAAAUAAAGGCGUUUGACGUAUUUGUAGGUAAAAGUUAUUUCCUAUUUAGUGUAAACGGGUAUUAAAAUGACUAAAAUGCAGCAUUCCGCCCAAACCCGUAACGUCUUAUGUAAAACAAUGCACACGUCAUUCAGCCAAUGAUUGACGCCGCGUGCUGUGACGGCACGUGUUAAGGCAGUCAUCUUACUAGACUCGUAAUUCUCUGUGAAACAGAUUGCCAGACUACACCAAACUGAAGCUUAUCAAUUAUUCUAUUUGUUUGAAUGAAUAGACACACAUUAUUAUAAUUUGUUGAAAUUAAUUUGUAGUCAGUUCAUAAAGUUAAAAAGAUUUCACGUUGUGGGAUUAACUAAUUUAGCACUACAGGGACCAUGUGUAAGAGAAAAGUUAACAAGAACUGUACUUCUUCAAAAUCAGUAGAAUUAUUAACUUUGUUAAUCUCUAUGUUUGACAAAAUAUAAAUGUUUGAAAUAC